UACGGGGGGGGCAAGCGUUGUUCGGAAUUACUGGGCGUAAAGGGCUUGUAGGUGGCCAACUAAGUCGGACGUGAAAUCCCUAGGCUUAACCGGGGAACUGCGUCUGAUACUGGAUGGCUUGAGUGUGGGAGAGGGAUGCGGAAUUCCAGGUGUAGCGGUGAAAUGCGUAGAUAUCUGGAGGAACACCGGUGGCGAAGGCGGCAUCCUGGACCAAUACUGACGCUGAAAAGCGAAAGCCAGGGGAGCAAACGGG
rnacentral:rRNA from 1 species